rnacentral:rRNA from 1 species
AACGAACGCUGGCGGCAUGCCUAACACAUGCAAGUCGAACGAGACCUUCGGGUCUAGUGGCGCACGGGUGCGUAACGCGUGGGAACCUGCCCUUAGGUUUGGAAUCACUCCCCGAAAGGGGUGCUAAUACCGGAUAAUGUCUUCGUACCAAAGAUUUAUCGCCUUUGGAUGGGCCCGCGUUAGAUUAGCUAGUUGGUAGGGUAAAAGACUACCAAGACGACAAUCCAUAGCAACUCAGAGAGGAUGAUCAGCCACACUGGGAACAAGACACGGCCCAGACUCCUACGGGAAGCGGCAGUGGCGAGUAUAGGUAAAGGGACGAAAAUCUGCUCCAGCAACACCGCAUGAAUUGUGCAGGGCAUAGGGAAGUACAGCACUAUUACCAGGGAUGAUAAUGACAGUACCGGGAGAAUAAGCUCCGGCUAACUCCGUA